rnacentral:rRNA from 1 species
UACAGAGGUGGCAAGCGUUGUUCGGAAUUACUGGGCGUAAAGGGCGCGUAGGCGGUCUUAUAAGUCUCGUGUGAAAUCCCUCGGCUUAACUGAGGAACUGCACGGGAUACUGCAAGACUUGAGAUCGGGAGAGGGAAGCGGAAUUCCGGGUGUAGCGGUGAAAUGCGUAGAUAUCCGGAGGAACACCGGUGGCGAAGGCGGCUCCUGGACCGACACUGACGCUGAGGCGCGAAAGCUAGGGGAGCAAACGGG